rnacentral:rRNA from 1 species
UACGUAGGUGACAAGCGUUGUCCGGAUUUACUGGGCGUAAAGAGCGCGCAGGCGGUCGAUCAAGUCGAGUGUGAAAGCCCCCGGCUCAACUGGGGAGGGUCAUUCGAAACUGGUCGACUCGAAGGCAGGAGAGGGUAGUGGAAUUCCCGGUGUAGUGGUGAAAUGCGUAGAUAUCGGGAGGAACACCAGUGGCGAAGGCGACUACCUGGCCUGUUCUUGACGCUGAGGCGCGAAAGCUAGGGGGAGCAAACGGGG